GCCUGGCCUUUCCUACUUAGCCUUGUUCUGAUGUUUCCUUAUUAUCCUUUUAAAUAUCCAUGGAUUUUAAAAUGAAGACUCCUUCAUUCUUGAUCUGGUGGACAAGCCAGAACAAGUUCUCCUGGUGAUGGCAGAGGUGCAGGAAGGCAAGUGGAAACUCGUGAUCCUGCUUAAAGCCUAAUUCUGGACCAGGCACCAUGUCACUUCCUCCCACAUCCACUGACACAAGGUUUUGUCCUUUAUUGCAUCUUUAUAUCUUAAAUAAAUUAUGUUUAGAAAUUCAUUUUAUAUUCUCCAUUGGCAAGACACCGGUAUCCAGAUCUGCCUGAAGUCUCAAACUUUUAUCUAUAUACUUAUUUUUGACUGAUUGCUGUGAUAUUCAAAGUAUUCCUCUUUAAUACAUUCUACCUUCAAACAAUAAAGCAUCACUCCUCUUUACAUA